GACGAACGCUGGCGGCGCGCUUAACACAUGCAAGUCGAACGGAAAGGCCUGCUUUCCCUUGUGGAUUGCGGGUACUCGAGUGGCGAACGGGUGAGUAACACGUGAGUGAUCUGCCCCCAACUUGGGUAUAAGCCUGGGAAACUGGGUCUAAUUCCCGAUAGGACUGCAGGGUGGUGCCUGUGUUGGAAAACGAUUUUCUAGUGGUUGGGGAUGAGCUCGCGGCCUAUCAGCUUGUUGGUGGGGUAAUGGCCUACCAAGGCGGCGACGGGUAGCCGGCGUGAGAGGGUGGACGGCGACAUUGAGACUGAGAUACGGCCCAGACGCCUACGGGAGGCAGCAGUGGGGAAUAUUGGAGAAUGAGCGGAAGCCUGAUGCAGCGACGCCGCGUGGAAGAUGACGGGCUUCGGGUUGUAAACUCGUUUCGAGCGCGAGGAAGACACCUGGUUGGAAGGGUGGUGACGGUAGUGGUAGAAGAAGCACCGGCUAACUACGUG
rnacentral:rRNA from 1 species